rnacentral:lncRNA from 1 species
UUAUAAUUUUUUUUUCAUAAUGAAGCUUGCAUACCACGUGGAGGUGAGCCUUUGGCUGAUCCAUAUAUUUAAUUAUAUUUUUCAUUUUAUUUCUUCUUUUUUUUGCUAUAAUGGAUGGUACUAGAUCUUCUAACAAGUAGUAUUAGAGCUAGGUAGUAUCAGGAUGCAGGUUGUGGCAAUGGUGAUUGUUGGUGCAGAAUUUCG